UACAGAGACUGCAAGCGUUAUUCGGAUUCACUGGGCGUAAAGUGUGCGCAGGCGGCCGCCGGCAAGUCGAGUGUGAAAGCCCCCGGGCUUAACUUGGGAAUUGCGCUCGAAACUACGUGGCUGGAGUGUGGCAGAGGAAGGUGGAAUUCCAGGUGUAGCGGUGAAAUGCGUAGAGAUCUGGAGGAACACCGAUGGCGAAGGCAGCCUUCUGGGCCAACACUGACGCUCAUGCACGAAAGCGUGGGGAGCAAACAGG
rnacentral:rRNA from 1 species